rnacentral:sRNA from 12 species
CAAUAGUGCUGUGAAUAAGGCAGUAAGGCUAUGCAAAUAGCCCGAUGAGUCGUCAUUGACCUAGUGUGACUCUGCCGAUAUAGAUUAGGCGCACUAACU